GUGGGGCUGGCAGAAUUGGCUAGUGCGCAGGGCCGCAAACCCUGAGGAUCGAGGUUCGAGUCCUCGGCUCCACACCA
rnacentral:tRNA from 1 species